rnacentral:tRNA from 1 species
AGCAGAGUGGCUUAAGUGGAAAGAGCACGGGCUUGGGAGCCAGAGGAUGUGGGUUCUAAUCCCACUUCUGCCA